UACGUAGGGUGCGAGCGUUGUCCGGAAUUAUUGGGCGUAAAGAGCUCGUAGGCGGUUUGUCGCGUCGACUGUGAAAACCUGGGGCCUAACUCUGGGCCUGCAGUCGAUACGGGCAGACUUGAGUUCGGUAGGGGAGACUGGAAUUCCUGGUGUAGCGGUGAAAUGCGCAGAUAUCAGGAGGAACACCGGUGGCGAAGGCGGGUCUCUGGGCCGAUACUGACGCUGAGGAGCGAAAGCGUGGGGAGCGAACAGG
rnacentral:rRNA from 1 species